rnacentral:tRNA from 1 species
AGCAGUGUGGCCUAGUGGGAAAGCGCCGGCCUGGAAGACGGAGGAUCUGGGUUCUAAUCUUGGCUCUGCCA